AUUGAACCCAGCUCCCCGCGCAUGCCAGGCGAGUGCAUUACCGCUUAAGCCACAUCCCCAGCCUUUUGACUUCUUUUUUAAUAUUUAUUUUUUAGUUGUAAUUGGACACAAUACCUUUAUUUAUUUUUAUGUAGUGCUGAGAAUCGAACCCAGAGCCUCACACGUGCUAGGCAAGCACUCUACCGUUGAGCUAAAACCCCAGCCCCUAUCUUUGAUUUUUUUUAAAAAUAUUUUUUUAGUUGUCAACGGACCUUUAUUAUUUUUCUUUAUUUAUAUGCAGUGCUGAGAAUCGAACCCAGUGCCUCACACACGCUAGGCAAGCGCUCUACCACUGAGCCAUAACCCUAGCCCAUUGAUCUUGACUUUUAAUUAUUUAUCUAAUCACAUGAGGUUUUCCACAGCUCCCCUGUAUCUCAUUAAGGGUCUUCUUUUUAUGUUAUACACUCUCUACUCUUAUCCCAAGGAGGAGAGAAGGUCCCCUGAGUGUCUAAUGUGAAGACUUCCAUGUUAAGUCCAAGUCUUAACUUGGUCUGUUGGAUUGUUUGUCUCUUGGGCAAGAAUGUAAGAGGUGGCUAAAAGCAGAAAUAGGAUGAAAGAAACACUUACCAUUUUUAUCCUCUGUGUACUUUUAAAAGUCUGCCAAAUUUCUGAGUAGAAACUUUAUCCUAACACAAAUAUCAUAACACAAACAUAUAAUAGCUGGUGUUAUUGAUUAUAUUUUCUGCAUACUCUUGGGUAAUUUGUCCCAAAGACUCCAGAAGAUCAUUAAACCCCUUGCCAUAUUUUUGUUCAUGUAGUCUAAUCUAACAGAAAAUCAAUGGUCCUUGUUUCCCCCUCUCUCCUCUUCUUCCUCCUCUUCUUCCUUUCUCUCUCAUCUCUCCCUGCCCCCCUCCUUUCUUUCCUUCCUUCCUUCUUCCUUCCAUCCUUCAAAAUGUUUAAAUUAAAAUGCUUAUUUUACUCCCUUAUUCUUAGUCAACUGCAUCAUCUAAUGGCUUCCAAAAAAGGGACCAUGGGAGGUAAACUUUGUGAUAACUGAAUCUGUCUGAAAGUAUUAUUCUUUUCUCAUAUUUGAUUAAUAGUUUAGCUAGGUAUAGAUUCUAGGUUAGGAAUAUUUUUCCCAUAGAAUUUUAACUUCUAACACUAUCUUCUAACUCCAAAUGUUGCCAUUCAAGAUGUUGUUCAAGAUGUUCAAGAUGUUGCUGUUCUUUUUUUUAAGGUACUGGGGGUUGAAACUAGGGGUGCAUUACCACUGAUCUACAUCCUUAGGUCUUUAAAAAAAUUUUUUUUUUUUAAAUUUUAAGACAGAGUCUUGCUAAGUUGUUGAGGGCCUUGCUAAUUUGCUGAGGCUGGCCUUGAGCCUUGGCCUUGAGAUCCUUCUGACAGCCUCCUGAGUCACUGGGAU
rnacentral:lncRNA from 1 species